rnacentral:rRNA from 1 species
AUUGAACGCUGGCGGCGGGCCUAACACAUGCAAGUCGAACGAGGGGCGGAGGGGUGAGUAAUGUGUGGGAAACUGACCGAAGGAGGGGGAUAACUAAGGGAAAAGGUAGCGAAUAACGCAGACCAUCGGAUGUGAGCAGAUGGGAGUAGCUAGUAGGUUGGGUAAUGGCUCACCUAGGGUACGAUCCCUAGCUGGUCUGAGAGGCUGACCAGCCACACUGGAACUGAGACACUGUCCAGACUCCUACGGGAGGCAGCAGUAGGGAAUAUUCCACAAUGGGCGCAAGCCUGAUGCAGCCACGCCGCGUGUUUGACGAAGGCCUUCGGCUUGUAAACUCCUUUUAUCGGGGAGGCGUUACCCGCAGAGUAAGCACCGGCUAACUCCGUGCCAGCAGCCGCGGUAAUAC